rnacentral:rRNA from 1 species
UGGGGGAUAUUGCACAAUGGGCGAAAGCCUGAUGCAGCGACGCCGCGUGGGGGAUGAAGGCCUUCGGGUUGUAAACUUCUUUUGCUCUGAACAAGGCAUGCUAAUGGGUGUGUUUAGUGUAGGGGUUGAUUAGCGCCGGCUAACUACGUGCCAGCAGCCGCGGUAAUACGUAGGGCGCGAGCGUUGUCCGGAAUUAUUGGGCGUAAAGGGCUUGUAGGUGGCUGGUUGCGUCUGUCGUGAAAGCUCAUGGCUUAACUGUGGGUUUGCGGUGGGUACGGGCUGGCUUGAGUGCAGUAGGGGAGGCUGGAAUUCCUGGUGUAGCGGUGGAAUGCGCAGAUAUCAGGAGGAAUACCGGUGGCGAAGGCGGGUCUCUGGGCUGUUACUGACACUGAGGAGCGAAAGCAUGGGGAGCGAACAGG